UACGUAGGGGGCAAGCGUUGUCCGGAUUUAUUGGGCGUAAAAGGCUUGUAGGUGGCCACGCCAAGUCGGAUGUGAAAUCUCCCGGCUCAACUGGGAGGGGUCAUUCGAUACUGGCGGGCUCGAGGCCGGUAGGGGGAAGUGGAAUUCCCGGUGUAGUGGUGGAAUGCGUAGAUAUCGGGAGGAACACCAGUGGCGAAGGCGGCUUCCUGGACCGGUUCUGACACUGAGGAGCGAAAGCGUGGGGAGCAAACAAG
rnacentral:rRNA from 1 species